rnacentral:lncRNA from 1 species
ACGCAACGGGAAUGUAGGUAAAAAUUGCUUCCAUCACUUACACUUAACACUUUUCUCGAUCUUCAAAGAAGACUAACUCCUCCUACUCCUCCUUCUCUUGUCCUGUAUAUAGCUCGUUGUUGGUCCUUAUACACUUAUCGAUGACUGCCCGAUGAUGGCUCAAUCAUCUACUUACGUAAUUUCCAAAUCCACUUUGUUAGCAGACAAUCUUGGGAACUACUAUGGACACAAAAUAGUCUUCAUUUCUAUUUUUUAGAUUUUUUUUACGAAAUUUUAAGUCACCAAAAUAAGCUUAUUCCCUGCCA